rnacentral:rRNA from 1 species
AUUGAACGCUGGCGGCAGGCCUAACACAUGCAAGUCGAGCGGAGCGGCGGACGGGUGAGUAAUGCCAAGGAAUCUGCAUGGUAGUGGGGGAUAACGUCCGGAAAUGGGCGCUAAUACCGCAUACUAUCAGAUGAGCCGAGGUCGGAUUAGCUAGUUGGUGGGGUAAAGGCGUACCAAGGCGACGAUCCGUAGCUGGUCUGAGAGGAUGAGCAGUCAAACUGGAACUGAGACACGGUCCAUACUCCUACGGGAGGAAGCAGUGGGGAAUAUUGGACAAUGGGCGAAAGCCUGAUCCAGCCAUGCAGCGUGUGUGAAGAAGGUCGUCGGAUUGUAAAGCACUUUAAGUUGGGAGGCGUUACCAACAGAAUAAGCACCGGCUAACUUCGUGCCAGCAGCCGCGGUAAUAC